rnacentral:lncRNA from 1 species
GUAUGAUGGGUCCUCUACAACAAGAAACAUUGUAACCUAGCUAAAGUCUGCCACCUCUUCAGCUGACUUGGUCAUGAUGGUGAAAAUUAAAGUGCCUGAAAAUCCUCCUGUUGAUGACCUAGCAGUCAAAGUACCUCAGCAAAAAAUCAGACAUUUCUUAUUCAUCUUCUUUCUUCAAUUUCAAGAGCAAGGAGAUAUAUGGAGAAUUCCUGUCUUUCACUGAUACUGAGCCUUUGAAGAUUUUCAAACACUGUUCAAGCAUGCUGGCUAUCCCUUGAGAAAUGUGCGAGACGGUUUCUUCAGCAGUGCCCUGCCUUGAAGUCUUACUUGAACAGUCAUGAUGACAGUGAAAUGUCAGGGAACAGGGUUCCAAGAUGUGCUGCCAGACUCCCUGAUUCCUUGUUCAGCCUGAGUUACCACUUCCUUGAAUAAAUUCAGUACCACCUUUCAGGCUAGUGAGUCAAUGAUUGGUUAUCUCCAUCCAGAAAUGGAACAACUAGUGCGGAAGUUUUUAGGGACAUUUGUAUAGACCAAGGUUAUGACAUCUGCCAGAACCAUCACUGAAGUCCAUGCCGAGGAGAGGGAAAACCAACAUCCAGACGAGGACCUGGCUGUGGGUAUGGGUACACUCCCUACAAAUCUACAUGACAAACCUGGUAUUCCAGCAUAAACCAUCAGAAAGCU